rnacentral:rRNA from 1 species
UACGAAGGGAGCUAGCGUUACUCGGAAUUACUGGGCGUAAAGCGUGCGUAGGCGGCAUGGUAAGUUGGAAGUGAAAGCCCCGGGCUCAACCUGGGAACUGCUUUCAAAACUGCCAAGCUAGAAUACUUGAGGGGAUGGCGGAAUUCCUAGUGUAGAGGUGAAAUUCGUAGAUAUUAGGAGGAACACGGAAGCGAAGGCGGCCAUCUGGCGAGAUAUUGACGCUGUUGCACGAAAGCGUGGGGAGCAAACAGGA